rnacentral:tRNA from 1 species
GGCCGCGUGGUGUAGUGGCCAAACACGCCACCCUGUCAAGGUGGAGAUCGGCGGUUCGAAUCCGCUCGCGGUCGCCA